AUUGAACGCUGGCGGCAUGCCUUACACAUGCAAGUCGAACGGCAGCACGGGAGCAAUCCUGGUGGCGAGUGGCGAACGGGUGAGUAAUAUAUCGGAACGUGCCCAGUCGUGGGGGAUAACGUAGCGAAAGCUACGCUAAUACCGCAUACGAUCUACGGAUGAAAGCGGGGGAUCGCAAGACCUCGCGCGAUUGGAGCGGCCGAUAUCAGAUUAGGUAGUUGGUGAGGUAAGGCUCACCAAGCCGACGAUCUGUAGCUGGUCUGAGAGGACGACCAGCCACACUGGGACUGAGACACGGCCCAGACUCCUACGGAGGCAGCAGUGGGGAAUUUUGGACAAGUGGGCGCAAGCCUGAUCCAGCAAU
rnacentral:rRNA from 1 species